rnacentral:rRNA from 1 species
UACGGGGGGAGCAAGCGUUGUUCGGAUUUACUGGGCGUAAAGGGCGCGUAGGCGGUCGUGACAAGUCACUUGUGAAAUCUCCGGGCUUAACUCGGAACGGUCAAGUGAUACUGUCGGACUAGAGUACAGAAGGGGCAACUGGAAUUCUCGGUGUAGCGGUGAAAUGCGUAGAUAUCGAGAGGAACACCUGCGGCGAAGGCGAGUUGCUGGGCUGAUACUGACGCUGAGGCGCGAAAGCCAGGGGAGCGAACGGG